rnacentral:rRNA from 1 species
CCCUUAGAUGUUCUGGGCCGCACGCGCGCUACACUGAUACAUGCAACGAGUUUAUAACCUUGAUCUGACGGUCUGGGUAAUCUUCAAACUGUAUCGUGUUAGGGAUCGAUUCUUGCAAUUUUUAAUCGUAAACGAGGAAUUCCUAGUAAACGCAAGUCAUCAGCUUGCAUUGAUUACGUCCCUGCCCUUUGUACACACCGCCCGUCGACUCUACCGAUUGAAUGGUUCGGUGAAAACUUUGGACUGUGGCAUUGUCCUUCAUUGGACUUCGCCGUAGGAAAUUGUUUAAACCCCAUCAUUUAGAGGAAGAAUAAGUCGUAACA